GACGAACGCUGGCGGCGUGCUUAACACAUGCAAGUCGAACGGAAAGGCCUGCUUUCCCUUGUGGAUUGCGGGUACUCGAGUGGCGAACGGGUGAGUAACACGUGAGUGAUCUGCCCCCAACUUGGGUAUAAGCCUGGGAAACUGGGUCUAAUUCCCGAUAGGACUGCAGGGUGGUGCCUGUGGUGGAAAACGAUUUUCUAGUGGUUGGGGAUGAGCUCGCGGCCUAUCAGCUUGUUGGUGGGGUAAUGGCCUACCAAGGCGGCGACGGGUAGCCGGCCUGAGAGGGUGGACGGCCACAUUGGGACUGGGAUACGGCCCCGACUCCUACGGGAGGCAGCAGUGGGGAAUAGUGCACAAUGGGCGGAAGCCUGAUGCAGCGACGCCGCGUGGGGGAUGACGGCCUUCGGGUUGUAAACUCCUUUCGACCGCGAGGAAGCCACCUGGUUGGAAGGGUGGUGACGGUAGUGGUAGAAGAAGCACCGGCUAACUACGUG
rnacentral:rRNA from 1 species